AUGAUGCAUGAGAAAGAAAAAAACACAUAAGGACUAGUGAACAUGAUGAAGUUUGUGGCUUGUGGGGUCAUUCAUCACUUUGAGUCUGAUGUUGAUAUACUUACUAAAAGGGAAUCAGACCCAAGUGGUUAUUCUGAGGCCAUGACUGUUUCCCAGUCUUCCAGAUCCAUAAUUUUCUCAUGGAGAUUGGACAGAGGAAAGGUAACCAAGCUUGAAAUAACAAAUUCAAAUAUAGGACUUGAUGAGUGUGUUUAGUAAGAGGGUGAAGUGGGAGAAAGGAGAGAAAUGAGGUGAUUAUAGUCAAGCUCAAGUGUUAGUAUUGUACAAUUGAAAAUGGCUCCCUUCUCUCAACUACUUCCUCCUACCAAGCAACACAAGACUGCUUUUUCAAUUCUUCUCUCAUUUCUUCAAUAACAAAGGGAAAAGUGCUCCCCUUCCUUCCUCUUUCCCUUUAUGUAUAUAUAUACAAAAUAUAUGGCCAUUAUUGUCCAAAUUAUGAUUGUUUGUGAAAGCUGUUUUUGGUUUUAUUCUCACUCAUUCUUGUGUAUUGUGUUCUUCAACAAGCUUCUUUGUGAUUUAUGGACAUUAAAAUCACUUAGUGUGAUUGUAUCUUCAGUUACAGUUUGCAUUUCUAUUGCAUGAAUAAUGUGUGAUUUGUACCUUCAUAAAUUGUGAUACAUAUUGAUAAUAAUUGAAAAUUUCAGUUAAGAUG